GCCAGCAUGGUUUAGUGGCUUGAGUGCUUGACUAGGGCUCUAAGAGACUCGGGUUUGAAUCCCUGCUCAGUCA